UACGAAGGGGGCUAGCGUUGCUCGGAAUUACUGGGCGUAAAGGGAGCGUAGGCGGGUUAUCAAGUUGGAGGUGAAAGCCCAGGCUCAACCUUGGAAUUGCCUUCAAAACUGAUAGCCUAGAGUAUGAUAGAGGUAUGUGGAACUCCGAGUGUAGAGGUGAAAAUUUCGUAGAUAUUCGGAAGAACACCAGUGGCGAAGGCGACAUACUGGGUCAUGGAACUGACGCUGAGGCUCGAAAGCGUGGGGAGCAAACAGGG
rnacentral:rRNA from 1 species